rnacentral:rRNA from 1 species
AACGAACGUUGCGGCGUGGAUGAGGCAUGCAAGUCGAACGCGAAAGCCGCAAGGUGAGUAGAGUGGCGGACGGGCGAGUAACACGUAAUCAAGCUACCUGCGAGACGGGAAUAACCCUCGGGAAACCGAGGCUAAGACCCGAUGGUCUUCAUGGACCGCAUGGUCUGGGAAGUAAAUGGGCGGAUCCUUCUGGAUCGCCUGCUCGCGGAGGUGAUUG